rfam:Schistosoma curassoni strain Dakar, Senegal genome assembly, scaffold: SCTD_contig0007424
GUCAAGUUGACGAGUCCCAAAUAGGACGAAACGCGCAUCUUGGAU